CGAAGGGGUUAACCGGAGCCGGCGGACGGGAGAGCGCCGGGCUCCCGCGCGCGAGCCCGGCUCAGCCGGCGGGGACGCGCGGGCGCGGGGAUGGAGGACGGCGCGGCCGGGUCCCCGCUCCGGGAAGCGGCCGACGCGGCUGAAGCGCGAGCGCGGCCCGGGGCCACCCUGCGACCCUUCGCGCCGUUCUCGGGGGCAGCCGAGGCCGACGAGGGCGGCGGCGACUGGAGCUUCAUCGACUGUGCGAUGGAGGAGGUGGACCUGCAGGACCUGCCCAGCGCCACCAUCGCCUGCCACCUGGACCCGCGCGUGUUCGUGGACGGCCUGUGCCGGGCCAAAUUUGAAUCCCUCUUUAGGACAUAUGACAAGGAUAUCACCUUUCAGUAUUUUAAGAGCUUCAAACGAGUCAGAAUCAACUUCAGCAACCCCUUGUCUGCAGCAGAUGCCAGACUCCAGCUACAUAAGACUGAAUUUCUUGGAAAAGAAAUGAAGUUAUAUUUUGCUCAGACUUUACACAUAGGAAGUUCACACCUGGCCCCACCGAAUCCAGACAAGCAGUUCCUCAUCUCUCCGCCCGCCUCUCCGCCAGUUGGCUGGAAACAAGUGGAAGAUGCUACUCCUGUCAUAAAUUAUGACCUUUUAUAUGCUAUCUCCAAGCUGGGGCCAGGGGAAAAGUAUGAAUUGCAUGCAGCCACUGACACCACUCCCAGUGUGGUGGUCCACGUCUGUGAGAGCGACCAGGAGAAUGAGGAAGAAGACGAGAUGGAAAGAAUGAAGAGACCCAAACCAAAAAUCAUCCAGACCAGAAGGCCGGAGUACACGCCCAUCCACUUAAGCUGAACUGGCCCCUGGACAAAGAAGUAUUUCAAAUCAUACUCACGGAGAGGAAUCUUUUACUGUGGAAGUGGCCAGUCACAACUUUGGAGGUGGCAGCCAUGAUCGCUGUGUCAGAAAUUCCAGUUCAUGUUGCUCAGGAGAGAAUCAAGGUUCUAAUGCUGUGCAUCAGUCAGUGUCCAUGGCUCUCAGGAAUGUCCGGGGCCAAUCUCUGAGUUUAGGGUGAUCACACAAGGGCAUUUGGGAAUGUCUUGAGAAAACCGAUAAUGAUAGUGAGUGUUUUGUACUUGUUCUUUUCUGGUAGGUUCUGUUUCACCAAGGGCAGGUUGACAGUGGGUAUGGGAGAGCUUCUUUUUCAAUCAAGCCUACAGGGUAGACUGUCUACUGGUAGGAAAAGGCAUCGCUAAAGCCACAAUGUAUUUGGUGCAGAAAAGUUGUGGAAACAGCAAUGCAAUGUGGAAAUUGUAGUGUUUCAUUUCUUCCCCUCAUUGUCUAAUGUUCGUGCAUGUAUAUUACUGAUUUUCAGAACUAACCUUUGUUGGUGUAUAGAGUUAGGCCACUGUUGUUUUACAUCUUUUGGGAAGAGAGGAACGCAUUUGAAAAACCUAUCACCUUUCCAGUUCAUGACUCUGUUUGCAGCAGCACUCAAUGUGUGGAAUUCUACCUGGAAUACACUCACUCAGCAUCUUACCCAAUGCAACAUACAACUUGUGCUUUUGCAAAAGAAGUGGACCUGAAAUUCCUAUGGAGAGUUUCACUUAUAAAAUUCAGAAAAUAGCAGUUUCACUGCCAACUUUUAGUGGGUGAGAAAUUUUCAUUGAGGCGUUUGGAAUCAGACAUUGGUUUCAUUGAUUUCUUUGACAUGGUGGUUUAUACACAUGUACGGUAGCCAAAAACUUUUUUUGGCAACUGUCAGUUGAGAUAGUUCAUUUUUUUACCCCUCUAAAGCAUCCAGAUAAACUUGUAAAUAAAGUUGAUAGCGUAUAUGUUCUUACCUGUUGUACAUGUGGGUGAAAUAUAUGGCCAUGGAAGAAUAGUGUAAAAUGUAAUUGUAUGUUGUAGAAAAUGCUGUUAAAACAUUUGCCAGGACUUGAAUUCAAAGCAUGUGAGGUGGGUGGUAGAUGUGCAGUGAGUGAUGUGAGAGGGAUGCAGUGCCUUUCCACAUUAAUUCCUGAUGGAAUCGUUAACACUAGAUUAAUGUUUGUGAUUUUUUUUCUAGCUGUUAAUGUGUAUGUCUGGUAAAUAGCUAUUAUAUUUUGGCCUUAACCACAGCACCAUAACAAAAAUCUGUUGUUUCAAAAUACCUAAUGGCAAGUAACAGUGCAUGCUCUGGAAGCUGGGGAGAUGGUUUUCUUUAAGAAGCAAAUACCUUUGGUUGUUCCUAUCAAGAAACGGACUGAGUGUUCUCAAAACCCUGUUUACAGUAUCCACGUAGGCAGGGGCAGGUGCGGGAGAGCCCAUUGCAUAGCUGUUCAAGUGUUCCUAGUUAAGUGCUUUUAAACUGGAGAGGCUAACCUCAAAAUAUUUUUUUUAACUGUAUUCUAUAAUAAAUCGACACAAUAUGCUCUUUACGGGAAAGUUA